rnacentral:lncRNA from 1 species
CAAUAAUGUGCAAGUAUAUGUAGAUGAAAGCUUCCUGAUGGUAGUCUAAAUUAAAAAGUCAAAACCAUCAUAUAUUAAUCAGUUUAGAAGGAUUUGAUACAUUAACUUUCAUAUGGAAAAUUUGCAUCCCUCUGUGUUAGAAAAUAGAGCUUUUAAACAAACAAAAAAAAAACACACAUGAAAGGAAGAUCCAAAUUCCUAUAUGACAAUUCCACUCGAGGUAGGAUUUAUGUAUUUUCUAAGUGUGCAUUAUUAAGAAUCAUGUUCAGUGCAAAACUAUCCUCCAAUAACGGUCUAAACAGCGGUAUUUACAUAGUGAUAGUAAGUAAAUAUAAAUCAAAUAUCUUUUGUUGAUGUUGAUGAAAAUAAAAUGUUUAUCAGUGACUAUUACCGUACAUUUAUUUUAAAUUUACCUAUCAGAGCAGUACUUAUAUAAACAUAUGUAUACAUAUA